rnacentral:rRNA from 1 species
AUUGAACGCUGGCGGCAGGCCUAACACAUGCAAGUCGAGCGGUUGAAGGGAGCUUGCUUCUCGAUUCAGCGGCGGACGGGUGAGUAAUGCCUAGGAAUCUGCCUGGUAGUGGGGGACAACGUUUCGAAAGGAACGCUAAUACCGCAUACGUCCUACGGGAGAAAGCAGGGGACCUUCGGGCCUUGCGCUAUCAGAUGAGCCUAGGUCGGAUUAGCUAGUUGGUGAGGUAAUGGCUCACCAAGGCGACGAUCCGUAACUGGUCUGAGAGGAUGAUCAGUCACACUGGAACUGAGACACGGUCCAGACUCCUACGGGAGGCAGCAGUGGGGAAUAUUGGACAAUGGGCGAAAGCCUGAUCCAGCCAUGCCGCGUGUGUGAAGAAGGUCUUCGGAUUGUAAAGCACUUUAAGUUGGGAGGAAGGGUUGUAGAUUAAUACUCUGCAAUUUUGACGUUACCGACAGAAUAAGCACCGGCUAACUCUGUGCCAGCAGCCGCGGUAACAC